CGAACGCUGGCGGCAGGCCUAAUACAUGCAAGUCGAACGGCUCUUCGGAGCAGUGGCGGACGGGUGAGUAACGCGUGGGAAUGUGCCCUUAGGUACGGAACAACACAGGGAAACUUGUGCUAAUACCGUAUGUGCCCUUCGGGGGAAAGAUUUAUCGCCUUUGGAGCAGCCCGCGUUGGAUUAGGUAGUUGGUGAGGUAAAGGCUCACCAAGCCGACGAUCCAUAGCUGGUCUGAGAGGAUGACCAGCCACACUGGGACUGAGACACGGCCCAGACUCCUACGGGAGGCAGCAGUAGGGAAUCUUGCGCAAUGGGCGAAAGCCUGACGCAGCCAUGCCGCGUGUAUGAUGAAGGUCUUAGGAUUGUAAAAUACUUUCACCGGGGAAGAUAAUGACGGUACCUGGAGAAGAAGCCCCGGCUAACUUCGUGCCAGCCGCCGCGGUAAAAC
rnacentral:rRNA from 1 species